UUUUUUUUUGAGUGGAUUGUUUUUCAGUUUUCGUAGACCGGAGCGGUAGCUUUUCAGGGCUUGUUUGGAAUGGAGUAUUUUCAAAGGAAUUUCAAAGGAUUCUCUUUCCUAUGUUUUCGUGACGUCACAGGCGUUUGGAACGAAGGAGCGGCCCUUCCCGUUCCGGAGGAAAGGUUUGAUCUCCUUUGCAAAACGCAGGAAAAAAAGAAUCCACCGGGAGCCAAAGUUUCCACUGAUAGCCGAGAAAAGCGCGCAUGAAGAGGGGCAGAGGGGGAGCAGCGCGCGCAAACAGAGGCUGGAAGAGAAUAGGAACUGGGGCGCCGGCGUUGGUGCCGCCGUCCUGCUCCCGCCGAUGGCCCCUUCCGAGAAGCAAGGCCGCCGUAGCCUCCC
rnacentral:lncRNA from 1 species